rnacentral:tRNA from 1 species
UCUAAUAUGGCAGACUAGUGCGUGAGACUUAAGAUCUUAACAUAAAGAAUAACCCUUUUAUUAGAA